CCGCAUCUGUGCAUGCAGCAUAUCAAUAAGCGGAGGAAAAGAAACUAACAAGGAUUCCCCUAGUAACGGCGAGUGAAGCGGGAAGAGCUCAAAUUUGAAAUCUUAAAGGGUUUCCCUUUACGAAUUGUAGUUUAAAGAAGUGUUUUCUGUUGAGGUUUUGGUAAAAGUUCUUUGGAAUAGGACAUCAUAGAGGGUGAGAAUCCCGUAUUUGACCUUUACUUUCAACUUUGUGAUACACUUUCAAAGAGUCGGAUUGUUUGGGAAUGCAGUCCAAAAUGGGUGGUAAAUUUCAUCUAAAGCUAAAUAUUGGCGAGAGACCGAUAGCGAACAAGUAUCGUGAGGGAAAGAUGAAAAGAACUUUGAAAAGAGAGUUAAACAGUACGUGAAAUUGUCAAAAGGGAAGCGUUUGACACCAGUGUUGUUUUUCUGAAGAUCAAUUAAAGAACUGUUAUGCUAAGUUGUUUAGACUUUAUCAGCUAACUGUUUAGUUUUGAGCUUUUCUUAAUGCACUUUCAGUUAACAAGUCAACAUCAAUUUCUUUUGCUGUAAAAAAGCUUGAGGAAGGUGGCUUGAGAUUCGUCUUAAGUGUUUAUAGCCUCUUGCCUAUGCAGUCGGAGAGAUUGAGGUCUGCAGCGUAGAUCCUUCGGGGCUAAAUGCAUUUGUGCUAAGUUAUAGCAUUUUAUAGACAACUUGUUGACUAUGAUUUGUCUUGUAGCUUACUCGCUUAUGUUAUUUUACCUACGCUUAGGAUGUUGAUCUCUCACAGUCGAGC
rnacentral:rRNA from 1 species